AAGGUAGUGUAGUUAACACCUGCAUUAUUGACGUUACCUACAGAAGAAGCACCGGCUAACUCCGUGCCAGCAGCCGCGGUAAUACGGAGGGUGCGAGCGUUAAUCGGAAUUACUGGGCGUAAAGCGCAUGCAGGCGGCCUGUUAAGUCAGAUGUGAAAGCCCGGGCGUUAACCUCGGAAUUGCAUUUGAAACUGGCAGGCUAGAGUCUUGUAGAGGGGGGUAGGAAUUUCAGGUGUAGCGGUGAAAUAGCGUAGAGAUCUGAAGGAAUACCAGUGGCGAAGGCGGCCCCUGGACAAAGACUGACGCUCAGAUGCGAAAGCGUGGGGAGCAAACAGGAUUAGAUACCCUGGUAG
rnacentral:rRNA from 1 species